rnacentral:rRNA from 1 species
UACAGGGGGGGGCAAGCGUUGUUCGGAAUCACUGGGCGUAAAGGGCGCGUAGGCGGCUUUAUAAGUCGGGGGUGAAAGCCUGUGGCUCAACCACAGAAUUGCCUUCGAUACUGUAGAGCUUGAGACCGGAAGAGGUAAGUGGAACUGCGAGUGUAGAGGUGAAAUUCGUAGAUAUUCGCAAGAACACCAGUGGCGAAGGCGGCUU